AACGUGUCGCGAUGAU
rnacentral:rRNA from 1 species